AACGAACGCUGGCGGCAGGCUUAACACAUGCAAGUCGAACGCCCCGCGAGGGGAGUGGCAGACGGGUGAGUAACGCGUGGGAAUCUACCGUGCCCUGCGGAAUAGCUCCGGGAAACUGGAAUUAAUACCGCAUACGCCCUACGGGGAAAGAUUUAUCGGGUACGAUGAGCCCGCGUUGGAUUAGCUAGUUGGUGGGGUAA
rnacentral:rRNA from 1 species